UACGUAGGGGGCAAGCGUUGUCCGGAUUUAUUGGGCGUAAAGAGCGUGUAGGCGGCUUUGCAAGUCCGUUGUGAAAACUCGAGGCUCAACCUCGAGACGCCGGUGGAAACUGCAAAGCUAGAGUCCGGAAGAGGAGAGUGGAAUUCCUGGUGUAGCGGUGAAAUGCGCAGAUAUCAGGAAGAACACCCGUGGCGAAGGCGGCUCUCUGGGACGGUACUGACGCUGAGACGCGAAAGCCAGGGGAGCAAACGGG
rnacentral:rRNA from 1 species